ensembl:ncRNA C03H5.10 ncRNA
GAAAGGUUUCAGAAGCUACCACAAGCUCCACUACUGCAUCGCCUGCGCCAUCCACAGUAAGGUCGUCAGAAAACGUUCCCGUGAGGCCAGAAGAGAUUGCAACCCACCACCACGUUUCGGACAGCGCGCCGCUGCUGCUCGUCCAGGAGCUCCAGGACCACGUCCGUCCAUAAGAAAUUGAAAUGGACGUGUAAAGACGCUUAAUCCCAGUUGGUGUCUUCUACAACACGAAAGUCUCCAAUAUUCGCCAAACUAUCAGAAAGGAUAAUUUACAGAUUUAUAUAUCUGCGACCCCGAACAGUGAAGGAGUAUUGGUCAAGUUCCGACUAACAAAAGUCGGAGAAAUUGACUUUGGUGCCACCUUCAAGCCAAGCAUCAUUAUCUGUCCAUCGGAUAAUGUCCAUCAGCGCCAACUUCUGGAAGAACAUUUGUUUGCAAGUGGAAGAAGCCAUAAAAAGAAGCGAGAUGGAUUUUGUGUUGGUUCGAUGGAACCGCUAGAGCCAAGAUUCAUUGAGAAUGAACAAAUUGAAGAAGGAGAUGGAACGAUUGUUUUAGUUGGACCCGAGACAAAAUUUCCGACUUCAGAUGAGGGAAACCAAACGAUUUUUGAAAUGCUUGUUACAACAAAUGAUGUUGAACAGAAGAAGAUUGGUAUUAAGUUAAUUUUGUCUUGAAAGCUAUCCUACGUUACAGUGUAAACUUCUCCCUAUUUUCAUUUUGAUUAUAGUUUUCAUUAAGAAUCUGUGCUAGUA